AAAUUGAAGAGUUUGAUCAUGGCUCAGAUUGAACGCUGGCGGCAGGCCUAACACAUGCAAGUCGAACGGUAACAGGGAUCAGCUUGCUGAUUCGCUGACGAGUGGCGGACGGGUGAGUAAUGUCUGGGAAACUGCCUGAUGGAGGGGGAUAACUACUGGAAACGGUAGCUAAUACCGCAUAACGUCGCAAGACCAAAGAGGGGGACCUUCGGGCCUCUUGCCAUCGGAUGUGCCCAGAUGGGAUUAGCUAGUAGGUGGGGUAACGGCUCACCUAGGCGACGAUCCCUAGCUGGUCUGAGAGGAUGACCAGCCACACUGGAACUGAGACACGGUCCAGAC
rnacentral:rRNA from 1 species